rnacentral:rRNA from 1 species
GACAGAGGUGCCGAGCGUUAGGCGGAAUCACUGGGCUUAAAGCGUGUGUAGGUGGAUGCCUAAGUACCUUGUGAAAUCCCACGGCUUAACCGUGGAACUGCUUGGUAUACUGGGUGUCUUGAGCCAGCUAGGGGCCACCGGAACAAAUGGUGGAGCGGUGAAAUGCGUAGAUAUCAUUUGGAACGCCAAUGGUGAAAACAGGUAGCUGGGGCUGUGCUGACACUGAGACACGAAAGCCAGGGGAGCGAACGGG